rnacentral:rRNA from 1 species
AUAUAUAUAUCUAUAUACAUAUACAUGUGUGUGUGGGAGUUUGUGUCAUAACUCAUUUGUUGCCUACCUAUUCACAAUUAUUAUUUCCUGACCUCGGAUCAGACGUGAUUACCCGCUGAACUUAAGCAUAUCACUAAGCGGAGGAAAAGAAACUAACAAGGAUUCCCUUAGUAACGGCGAGUGAACAGGGAUUAGCCCAGCACCGAAGCCUGUGUCCGUUUGGGCACUAGGCAAUGUGGUGUUCAGGUCGUUCCGCAGAGGUACUGCUCCAUCCUAAGUCCAGCAAUGAGUACGGUUGUACGGACAUGGCCCACAGAGGGUGAAAGGCCCGUGGGGG